AAUAGGAUGCCUGAUAAAAGGGUUAUUUUGAUAGAAUAAAUUAUGUACGCUGUACUCCUGUUA
rnacentral:tRNA from 1 species